UCAUUUUUAGUGGCAGCUUGGAAUUACCCUCCAGACUCGGUGUCACCUGAGCCAGCAGCAGUGCCUGUGACUGAGGGAAACAAUCGUGUAAAGCAGAUGACAGGUCGUGUUUGCUCCUCCAGCUGCAGUGAGUAGUGCUUUCCUAGAGAGGAGGUAGCUGAGCCCACGAGGGAGCUCCUUGAGGGGGGUGACGGUGUCACAACGUUGUGUGACGAGGAAUAAAUGCAGGAGUAAAUGCAAAGGAAGGACAAAGCACAACACAUUUGAAGGCUGCACAUCUGCACCCCCACUCUGGAACCUUAGAGUUUGGAUUUGGAUUGGCUAAGAGAAGAUUUGGGCUUUAGAUUUUGGAUAAAGUUUGGAUUUGACCUUAGACCUCUUCUUGCCAAUGCAAAAUGUAGGGCAAUUGCAUUUUCUUUUUGAGGGGUU
rnacentral:lncRNA from 1 species